AGCCGUCAGCUCCUCCUCAAGACAUUAGUUGCACCAGCCCAAGUUCCACUAGUAUUUUGGUAAGUUGGCAACCUCCACCAGUGGAAAAACAGAAUGGCAUUAUCACUGAAUACUCCAUCAAGUAUACUGCAGUGGAUGGGGAAGAUGACAAGCCUCACGAGAUUUUGGGAAUUCCUUCGGACACUACCAAAUACCUUUUGGAACAGCUGGAAAAAUGGACUGAAUACCGGAUCACUGUGACGGCCCAUACAGAUGUCGGCCCUGGCCCUGAGAGCUUGUCCGUGUUGAUUCGAACCAAUGAAGAUGUUCCUAGUGGUCCUCCUCGCAAAGUCGAGGUAGAGGCUGUCAACUCAACAUCUGUUAAAGUCUCAUGGCGCUCACCGGUGCCCAAUAAACAGCAUGGCCAGAUAAGAGGAUACCAGGUACAUUAUGUGAGGAUGGAAAAUGGUGAGCCCAAGGGCCAGCCCAUGCUGAAAGAUGUCAUGCUGGCUGAUGCACAGGACAUGAUCAUUUCUGGGCUCCAGCCUGAAACUUCCUACUCCCUUACCGUCACAGCCUACACAACCAAAGGAGAUGGUGCUCGCAGCAAGCCCAAACUGGUGUCCACCACUGGGGCAGUUCCAGGGAAACCUCGGCUUGUGAUUAACCACACUCAGAUGAAUACUGCUCUUAUUCAGUGGCACCCUCCCGUGGACACAUUUGGACCUCUUCAGGGCUACCGUCUAAAAUUUGGCCGCAAGGAUAUGGAGCCGCUUACUACUCUUGAGUUCUCUGAAAAAGAAGAUCACUUUACAGCUACAGACAUCCACAAAGGAGCAUCAUACGUCUUCAGGCUCUCAGCCAGAAACAAAGUGGGCUUUGGGGAGGAGAUGGUGAAGGAGAUUUCCAUUCCAGAAGAAGUACCAACUGGAUUCCCUCAAAACCUUCACUCAGAAGGCACCACUUCAACCUCCGUCCAGUUAUCUUGGCAACCACCUGUCCUGGCAGAGAGAAAUGGCAUUAUCACCAAGUAUACCCUUCUUUAUAGGGAUAUCAACAUCCCCCUUCUCCCAAUGGAGCAGCUUAUUGUUCCAGCUGACACCACUAUGACACUUACUGGCUUAAAACCAGAUACCACAUACGAUGUAAAAGUACGUGCUCAUACGAGCAAAGGGCCCGGGCCAUAUAGUCCCAGUGUCCAGUUCAGGACACUGCCUGUGGAUCAA
rnacentral:sRNA from 1 species